rnacentral:misc_RNA from 1 species
ACACCUCAACUCUCAUGGCUUGCCAUGAUGAGCUUGGACUUUGGGGGUCUUGUUGGCCUGUGAGCCAGCUCCCCUUAAAUGGAUUAGCUUGCCGGUGUUUGGUUGCAUCACAGGUGUGAUAACUAUCUACGCUUGUGGUUUCCCAUCAGGUAACCUUCAGCAAUGGAGGUUCGCCGGGGCUUAUAAAUGUCUCUCCUCAGCAAGGACAGAUUUUGACC